GAUGAACGCUGGCGGCGUGCCUAAUACGUGCAAGUCGAGCGAACGGACGAGAAGCUUGCUUCUCUGAUGUUAGCGGCGGACGGGUGAGUAACACGUGGAUAACCUACCUAUAAGACUGGGAUAACUUCGGGAAACCGGAGCUAAUACCGGAUAAUAUUUUGAACCGCAUGGUUCAAAAGUGAAAGACGGUCUUGCUGUCACUUAUAGAUGGAUCCGCGCUGCAUUAGCUAGUUGGUAAGGUAACGGCUUACCAAGGCAACGAUGCAUAGCCGACCUGAGAGGGUGAUCGGCCACACUGGAACUGAGACACGGUCCAGACUCCUACGGGAGGCAGCAGUAGGGAAUCUUCCGCAAUGGGCGAAAGCCUGACGGAGCAACGCCGCGUGAGUGAUGAAGGUCUUCGGAUCGUAAAACUCUGUUAUUAGGGAAGAACAUAUGUGUAAGUAACUGUGCACAUCUUGACGGGACCUAAUCAGAAAGCCACGGCUAACUACGU
rnacentral:rRNA from 1 species